UAUAGGCAAACAAAUGAAGAAAAAAAGACAAAAAACCCCAUGACUAUCUAGUAUUGUCUCAAUUUAAAAAAAACAUGAGUGACUACAAGAGCUAGGUAUUUCUACAGCCAGCCACAUUCCUAGUAUCCCUGUGCACAGUCUGUGUAAUUUGUAGUAUGUUUUAUCUAUCCUUCAGUAAGUCCAUCUGUAUGUAUGCUAUAGUUACCACAGGAGAGUUAAAAAUACAUCCUAGGUGUAGCAAUACAUAAGGCAGAUCCUCACCAGUAAACUAGGAAAUGAGUAAUUCCCCACUCUCCUGAACAAUUCUUCACAAUGACAACUCCCUCCUUCCCACACACCUACACUCUCACACGCCUGGAGAAGCCGGGGGCGGGGGAAAGCUGAGCUUUGCAAUGUUGUCUGGAAGCUCAUCAGAUCCAGGCCACUUCCAAUUAAAGGAGGGAGCAAGUUCAAAGCCUCUGCUGAUCUCUGCUCUGAACUGGCAUUAUGCUCAGAGACAUCUGUGCCUGCUGCUGAGACACAAGUCUGCUGAGCCAGAGAAGAAUGUGUACGAGCAUACGAGCAUGUCCCCCGUCAGGAAAUAAAAACAGGAUAGCAGGGAAACCCCAAACCUACUCAGGUGGCUGACAGUACUGGAACACUGACUUGAAUUAACAGGAGAAAAUGACAACCAAAUCCAAGUGAACUACAGUGGCUUCUGAGCACUGGCAGAAGAUGCUGAGGGGAAGCGAAGACCAAAGCGAGGAGAUGCGCAGAGGGAAGGUAAUCCUGGCACUGUUGACAUCAUCAUGCUGUGUGGAUCUGAAAGGUUCCAAGCUGCAGGCUACUUUGCAGCAUUGGCUUUUCCUACCUCCCUAAAUGCAUGCACUUUAAAAGUCUCUGGUUUUCAAAUCCUAGAUAUUGUACUGGGAAAUUAAGAAACAGCCUUCCAGAACAGUAAGGUAUUUCAGCAACUAUCAGAAAGACAAGCUUGACGAUAAGCUGUAUAAUCUGUCACAUCAUUUCCCUUCUACCAACUGUUAGAGGAUUCUGAAUUGAGAUAAAAAUAGCCCAAUUGCUGCCAUUAGCUUGGGCCUGGAUUUUUCGCAGCAUCCAUGAAAUCUUCAGAGUCAGUUCACCGACUAGAAAUGGAGCUACGAACACACACCUUGUAUUCACCGUGACAAAUACAGUGACAACAGCUGCGGCAGAUCCCAUCUCUAAGAUUUAUCUGGUCCUUGAAUAUCAUUAAAGAAGGGAAGACGAGUGUGGAGAAAACAGAUACUUGCAUGCUUGUGAUGCAAAACAACUUUCAGCAGAGGUAGGUUCCUACUGCCCUCUGCUGUAACUUCCUUUUAGAACUCCUAAGGAGGAAGCACGAAGCACACCCACCUGACGUGCAACACUGGGUGUUACACCCAGAUUGUAUUAAAACCGUGGAGAGUGGAACAAGGCAGUUAAAAACAAUAGGCUUUGGUUUCUUGCCGCUGCUUUUAAUUCUUGAAGUGGAUAUAUACCUCCCAGAUGUUGACCCAGGCUCCACCAAAUUACCGACAUUCUUACUCAAGUGACUAUUGCUGAAGGACACUGAAUUCUUGGGACAAACUAAUUGUAAGUAUAAGAGGUCAUCUUUUUGUCAGAUAAAGUCUUGCUUUGUGGAAAAUAGUGAAAGUAGCAUGAUAUAAAUUCUAUCACUAUCUUUGUUAUAGAUUACACAACUCAACUGAGAAUUUCUUUUAGCUAGUAAAAGAAACAUCUAGAUGUUAUUUUCCUAAAUAACUGCAGUUCACAUUUAAGUGAGUACAGGCCUAUCUCUAACUUUGAAGGAAAGGCCACUUUGUCUGCUCUUUUGGCCAGCAGCAUCACACAUUUCAAAGAUGUACUUGUUUCUUGGGGUUGUUCACACUGAGUUGUACUGUUUAUAAAACAGUAUUACCAAGUAUCACCACCUCCAGCUGAAUAGCCAUAUGAUAGGUAGCCUGGAUACCAGGAAAACACUUGCUAAAGCAGCACAGAGCAUGUUAACAUACUCACCAGAGUAUGUUAACCUUUACUGCAAUUCAACUGCUUCUUUUAGCUUUGCUUUUAAUGAGCUUGGGUGUCUGGGGGGAUCAGGUUGGCCACCUAACCAAAGAAGUUGGGGGAUACUUGAAAAUGUAUAUACAUACACAUACACAGCUACUUACAAGAAAGGAUAGCAGCAGAAGCCACAAAAUAAUAAACAUGAAGCAGAAGCAACUAAAAUAAAGGCAGAUUUUCAGUCUGAAAAAAGUGGAUACCUAAAGACCAUUAUAAGUGGGUAUGAAACUAUACAACUAGCUUAUUUCCCACCAGGCCUACAAUGCUUAGUACUCCCAGAAUGGAAAUACUAAAGCUAGAUGAAGUCAUAUGUGGACCAUUUUCUUG